UUAACUCUAAUUUGUAUGGAGUUGGAACGUUUGCCUGCGUUUGCCGCUAGGGGCGCUGUUCCAACUGCAUGUAAAUUUGAGUUA
rnacentral:pre_miRNA from 1 species